rnacentral:rRNA from 1 species
UACAGAGGUGGCAAGCGUUGUUCGGAAUUACUGGGCGUAAAGGGCGCGUAGGCGGUCUUUUAAGUCUUGUGUGAAAUCCCUCGGCUCAACUGAGGAACUGCACGGGAUACUGGAAGACUUGAGUUCGGGAGAGGGAAGCGGAAUUCCGGGUGUAGCGGUGAAAUGCGUAGAUAUCAGGAGGAACACCAAUGGCGAAGGCAGCACUCUGGGACGUGACUGACGCUGAGACGCGAAAGCGUGGGGAGCAAACAGG